AUCCCUUAUAUAUUAAUUGAGGAACAUUUGAAAAGAUGUAACCUCAAUUUUGUAUUAAUUAAAAGAGGCCCCAAUGCAUAGGUGUCACUCAAUUAGGUAGUCAAUUACAUUCAAUUGAAAAAUAAGUAGGUCCACAUUCGAUUUUUAUAUGUUGUUAGAUAUAUAUAAGUUGGUCAAACUAUAUGAUAUAAUGAUAUGAUAUGAUAUUUUAUUUCCUUAAAUAAAACCUACGGAAUUACCAUAAAUGACUAAUAUAUAUAUGACAAUUAAUGAGUUUAAUAAUAAAGAUUUGAUAACAAUGUAUAUCUCCUCCAUCAAUUUUUGUUUAAUUUUAUAUUAUUAAAAUAAAUUAAACAAUCAAAUUAGCUAUAAAAAAAAAAUUUAGAUUUUUUCGUAUAUGUUAUAUUUUGAAUUUUUAAAAACGAUAAUAAAUGACUAAAACUAUUAAAAUUAUUAUGUUAAAAAUUAAUGAUCAAUGGUUUAACAUUUUUAUUAUAAGAAGAUACACAUGACAUGAUUUUAAAACCAUAUGAGUAAAAAAUAUCAUUUAAUAAUAAAAUAAAUAUAUAUAUAUAUAUAUAUAUUAAACACUAUAUACCAUAAGAUUACAUAAAUAUUUUAAUAUUAAAACUUUCAAUGAAUUUUCAAGAACAUUUAUAAAUUAUAAACUUAUUAAAGAUUUCAGAUUGAAAAUUUUGUUAUCGAUGAUUUAAAUAUUUUGUUAUAAAACGAUAUGAACGAUCAUAGAACCGUAUGAUUAUAAAUUCUUAUUUAAUAAAUAACUAUACAAAAUAUACUAUUCCUAGAAAAAUAGGUUGGUCUAUCUUAACUUAUAUUACACUUUUUAUUAAACUAACUAUCGAAUUGAUAAAUAACGUACCAAAAAAUGUUUUGCACUUUCCUUAAAUAAAAGCUACGAAAUUACCUAAUAUGAUUAACGUAUAUGUGAAAAUUAAUUAUAAUGAAUAAUAAAUAUUUGAUAACAAUUUUUGUAUCUUAGUUCUUUUUUUUAAUUUUAUAUUAUUAAAAUAUAUUUAAAAAUCACAUUAAAUAUAUAAUAAAAACAUUUACAAUUUUUCUUAUAUGUUAUAUUUUGAAUUUUUCAAAACGUCUAUAAAUUAUUAGAAAUUUGAAGAUCCCCACUCUGAAAAUUUUGUGAUCAAUAUAUUUUUUUUUUGUCAUAAUAAGUUACAAAUGAUCAUAAAAUUGUAUUAAUAUGAACUUUUAUUUAAUAUUAUAAGAAGAUACACAUUAUUUUAAAACCAUAUGAGUAAAAAAUAUCAUUUAAUAAUAAAACAUAUAUAUUUAUAUAUAUAUAGAUUAUACUAUAUACCAUAAGAUUACAUAAAUAUUUUAAUAUUAAAACUUUCAAUGAAUUUUCAAAAACAUUUAUAAAUUAUAAACUUAUUAAAGAUUUCACAUUGAAAAUUUUGUUAUCGAUUAUUUAAAUAUUCAGUUAUAAAAUGAUAUGAAUGAUCAUAGAACUGUAUGAUUAUAAAUUCUCAUUUAAUAAAUGACUAUAUAAAAUAUACUAUUCUUAGAAAAAUAGGUUGGUCCAUCUUGACUUACAUUAUAUUUUUUUAUUAAACUAACUAUCGAAUUGAUAAAUAAUCUACCAAAAUGUUUUUUGCACUUUCCUUAAUUAGAAUCUACGAAAUUACCUAAUAUGAUUAACGUAUAUAUGAAAAUUAAUUAUUAUGAAUAACAAAUAUUUGAUAACAAUUUUGGUAUCUUAGUUCUUUUUUUUUUAAUUUUAUAUUAUUGAAAGAUAUUAAAAAAUCACAUUAAAUAUAUAAUAAAAACAUUUAUAUUUUUUCUUAUAUGUUAUAUUUGAAUUUUUCAAAACGUCUAUAUAUUAUUAGAAAUUUGAAUAUUCCCACUCUGAAAAUUUUGUGAUCAAUAAAUUAUUUUUUUGUUAUAAUAAGUUACAAAUGAUCAUAAAAUAUAACGCAUAUGAAUUUUUAUUUAAUAAAUAUUCAAACUAAAUAAUAUAUAUAUAUAUAUAUAAACACUAAUGAUUUAAAGCAACAAGAUUGGGUGAUCAAUUUAGUCGUCCAGUUGAAAUCUUUCAAAAGUAUGUGAAAGACUAAAAUCAAAGUACAUAUGGAUUUAGAAUAGUAGUUAUAUUUUACUAACCAAAUACCGAAAAAAGCAAACCGAACCGAAACCAAUCCGAUAUCCGGAUUGAACACCCGUAAUCCAAAUGAAACCAAACUAUUGUUUCAUUCUCCAAAAUAUAAUAAAAAUAAUAACUUAAUCCCGCGCAAGGCGCGGGUCUUAUCCUAGUGUUUAUAUAUUAACUGUUCAGAUGACUUUCCAUUAUGAUGAUAAAGACAGUUUGCGGCAGCUUCGUUUCUUCUCAGAGACGGCAUGCAAACCUUAAAAUAACAAAACAGAUAUCAGUUUUUUUUUUUUUUUUUUUCCGUCUAAAGUUUAUUUAAUAAAAAGUCAAAGCCCAAUCCGCAUACAAGUCCAUACACAUUAAGGGAAACUCAGAAAUCCAAAAGAAACCUCAAACCCAAUACAAACCCUAGGCCCAAACCAGGAGCAGAUGUCGGCAGCAUUCCAUCGCGAGCCGCAGCAUCACCUCCGCCACGUCUAUCACCGGAAAGCUAUCCACCGGUUCACCGAUAUCAGUUCUCACUACUAACUUUUCAGUAAAACCUCAAUAGGCACUGUGCAGUUAAAAUAGAAUGCAACAUAAAGAAUUAAACGAGGCUAUUAUUGCCACGUAGACAUCGCACGUCUCUGUACCCAAUCAGAAUGGGCUGUGACAACGUGCGCUGUGAGAAUACCAAUUUUCGAUCCACUUUUUUUUUUUUAAGGUUUGUGAAGGGUAAAGUUGAAACGAGGACGACCAUACAUACCAACUCGAAAGGAAAUCAAAAACAAAUAAAUCGAAAGAAAAAUUUUCUUCGAGAUCGCGAUCUUCUUCCUCCCUGAUCCAUUCAAAAGCUUCUCUUCUCCGGCGUAAUCAUGGUAUACUUCCUCUAAAGUCAACCCUUCCUUUUUGUUAAAUCUGUGGAGCUUCUUCUUCUUCUUCUCGUUGUAAACUCCGAUCUGCCAGAUCUGAUUCAUGAGCUUAACUAUCAAUGUUUGAAUCACGCGAAGUUUGUUUUCAAUUAGCUAAAUUGAGAUCCUAAUUUCGAAUCGGAUUAGCUGAAUUUCUUUUACUCUUUUGCUGUGGUUGUUAGGAUGUUCGAUCUCCAGCUCCUGUUCCCAUCGGAUCUCGGCGGCGUGAUAACAAGUGGUCAUCUCGUUGGGGUCCUGACGAUAAAGAGAAAGAUGCUAAGGUUGACAAGGAGGAGCCUGAAACUCAAUCUGUGCUUGGCAGCAGCCUCCGUGCUACUGACUCCGACGCUCGUGAUAAAUGGAGGCCACGUCAUCGGAUGGAGCAGCUCCAGUCCGGUGGACCUAAUUCUUAUCGUGCUGCGCCUGGGUUUGGACUUGAUAAAGGACGAAGUGAGGGUCCUAAUUUAGGGUUCGCCGUUGGUCGAGGAAGGGCGAGGGGUACUUGGUCUACUUUCUUUGGCGCUGGAGGAUUCUUGAGAAACGAGAGGGUCCCUGGUAAACCUGCGCCUAUGUGUCGUUAUGUGAGGGGGAAGUUGCUUGACUUGUAUAGAAACCAGAAGCCUGAUAGGAUGCCUAUUGAUAUGGAGGAUGUUGACUCUGUAACUCAAGUGGAUUUGAUCGAACCUCUUGCUUUUAUCGCACCUGAUGCUGAAGAAGAGGUAUGGUUCUCACUGGGGACUUGCUGUGCUUCUCAUAAGUGUGUCAUUCAUGUUUCUGUUUCUUAUUUGUAACUAGUUUUCUUUUGUUGGUUUUUUCCUUUCCCAUGAGUGUUUUGUAACUAAUUUUCAUGUGUUUGUGGUCUGGGUAUUAUAUAUUUAUUUCAGGAAAGCCUUAAGGGUAUAUGGAAGGGAAGGAUCACUGGUAGCGAAGCUCAUAUUUCACCUGGGGAAGAAUCAUUAGCUGAGAAGAGUCUGGGUAUACAAUCUUGUUUUUUUUUUGUUAAUUGGCUUCUAUCGUUCCUACUAGCGGAAUGUAACUAAUGCCUCUCUGACUUGACAGGUGAGACAAAAGUGGAUGGUGGUUUGCUAGGGGUUGUGAGUGGUGACAGUGUUUCCAUGCAUAAUAGUAAUUCAGGUAUGUGAAUAAUAGGUGCUAAACGGGUCUUCUAAUUCAUGUAGUUUUUAGCUUUCUUUUGAGUCUGUUGGCAUUUUAGUGUUCUAUAUAUUUUGACCCAAAUCCAAACAACUGUUGCUGUAGGAUUACUUGGUAGUCAUGGUGGAGGUCUGUGGGGUGCUUCUGAAAGUGAUCAAGUUUCUCAUGGAAGUCCUGAAGCAGUUAGAUCUGGUUUUACUAAAUCUUCUGUGUUGAAUGCGGGUGAACCCCUUGUUGAGCAAGAUUAUACGGGAAAGCUGCAGCAACCAGAAAUUGAAGUGAAUCACUCCGAAGGGACCCUGCCACCUGAGGAGUUUAUGUUCACGUACAUUGAUCCUCAAGGAGUAAUACAGGGACCGUUCAUUGGAUCUGACAUUAUUUCAUGGUUUGAGCAAGGGUUUUUUGGGACUGAUCUACAGGUCCGCUUGGCAACUGCUCCAGAAGGGACUCCUUUUCAAGAUCUAGGCAGUGUCAUGUCGUAUUUAAAGACGGAAAGUAUGCAAGCCCACAUCAAUGAUCAAAUCAUCGAGCUAGAACAGACUAGUAGAAAAGCAAAUUCGGAGAUUGGUUUAUCAUUUGCACCCGUAGAAGAUUCUAAUGGUUCAGCCUUAGGUCACGAUAAUGUUCAAAUGAAGUCUAAAUCAGAAGCUUAUGUGAAACCACCACAUCUUGAUGACCGAAGUUUCUUGGACUAUUCUGCUCAAGAUGAAGGUUUGUUAUUCUACUGACCUUUUCUCACUUGUGUGCAUUUGUGUGGUAUAAUACAUUUCUUUCUUCGGUUUUAUAUGCUUGUGUAGCCGAAUACAUUUCCUUCUUUCAUAAUCAUAUUAAUUAACUUUCUGUUCAUGAUAACUAAACAUACUUUUGUAUUUUUUUCUUAUUCAGAAAUCGUAUUCCCAGGAAGAGCUGGAGUUUCUGGUUAUGGAUCGGCAAAAUCCUCUACAAGUAUGCAUGAUGCUUUAAUGGGAGUUUCUGGCCACUCUGCUGUUCCUGUUGAAUCAGCGAAGGUUGCUACACAAAAUCAGAAUGAGAACAAGCUGCAUCCGUUUGGUGUGUUGUGGUCUGAGCUAGAGAGCAGUAGUACACCAGUUGAUCUUUUGCCUAACAGGUCGUAUGAUACAGGACAUGACCAGAAGUAUCUUGAUCAAGCUCGGGAUUUGGAUCAUUUAUUAACUCUCAAAUCGCAGCAGCAGCAGCAGCAACAAAAGAUUCAGUUGCAGCAGCAGCAGAAGAUUCAGUUGCAACAACGUCAACUAGAGCAAGAGUAUCAAUUACAACAGAAGCUCUUACGGGAGCAACAACAGUCCCAUGCUCGGAAUUUACAUUUUCAACAGAUUCUUCAAGGACAGACUCCUGAUUCAAGACUUGGGCAGUCGCAUGACUUCCAUCGACUCAACAAUGUUGAUCAGAUGAUAUUAGAGCAGCAACUAAUGGAUGAAUUGCAGAGUUCUGGCCAUAGAUCACAAAAUUUUACACCGUACAUGGAGCAGCUUGCCGCUGGAAAUUUUGGGCAGUUACCACAUGAAGGUCAUCAAAAAGAGCUACUUGAACAGCUACUUUCCGAACAAAUGCAAUCUCAAUACAGACAGAUGCAUUCUCAACAUGGACACAUGCAAUCUGAACCAAUACGGUCUUUGGAGUACCAGCUACUGCAACAAGAUCAGCUCAUGCGAUUGGCAAAUGGAGGGAGGCAAAAUACACUAUUGGAGGAACUGAGACAUAUUGACCCUCAACAUGGACAAUUGCAGUCUGAACCAAUACGGUCUUUGGAGUACCAAUGGAUGCAGCAAGAGCAGCUCAUGCAAUUGGCAAAUAGAGCGAGGAACAAUACCCUAUUGGAGGAACAUAGACAUAUUGAUCCUCUAUGGCCAUCCAACCGUAAUGAUCAGCUUCUAGGAGCUCAUCCUGGGAUCCACCGUUCACACUCUUCUGCGGGAUUUAGACCAGUAGACUUUCAUCAACAGCAGCAGGGGCCACCCUUUGAGGAUCACUUUAGUCAUCUUGAGCGGAACCUUUCAUAUCAGCAACAACUUAAUCAGGAAUUAUUCGAGCAAGGUCUACCCUUUGAGCGAUCUACAUCGUUACCCAGAAAUACAUCGGGGCUGAAUCUGGAUGCAGUAAAAGGUCUUAACUUCUCUGAGUUGCGGGAUGCCCAGAUGCAAUCCUCUGGUAGAUUAGGAAAUUCUACUCCGGGUUUCAGUCAUCAGAAUCCCCAUAUACAAUUAGGUGAACCUCAUUUUUCAGAAAUGGAACCAAGGAAAGAACGCUGGCAUGGAGCAGAUACACAGCUAGCUGGUGGCUGGGCUGAAACUCAGUUUCAUAGACCAAAUACUGAAGCUGACCAUCAUAAAAUGAGGUCAGAAAUGAGGAGAGCUGGCGAAGAUUCCAACUCAUGGAUGGUAGAUGGACAUACGGAUGAAAAGUCAAAACAGCUUUUUAUGGAGUUGCUUCACCAGAGGCCUGGCCAUCAACCUCUCGAGUCACCAAGCAUGAAUCGUGGGGAACCCUAUGACAGGAUGGCUGCUUCAGGCUUCGGCUUUGCAGACCAUGGUGGUAGGCAAAACGCUUCAUCUUCUUUUGGGUCGCACACAUCUUCUGAUGAACAUGUAAACGGAUUACCAGGAGAUAGGAACUAUAUGGGAUCGUUGCAGCGUGAUAAUUCAUUACUUUCUGGAAGUACCGAUGGUGGAAGAAAAAAUGAAACUAAAGACUUCAGUAAUAUGCUUGGUAUGAGCAAAGACGUGAAUGACAUCAGAACGUGGAACAAUGCACCACCGAAAAAGGAAGGAGCGGGGUUGAUGUCAUUUGAAGCACAAGACAGAAUGGGAAAGCAAGCAGUAAUGGAUUCCUUGGUUCAAGGGGAGGUUCCUGUUGCUACGCUUGGCAGACAGUCUUCUUCCAGUAUCUCUGGUAUGUAUCUUCCAGAGUUUAGAUUUCCUUUUCCCUGAAUAUAUCAUGUUUUUUUUUGUUAUGGGGGCUUAUGUUGAUAUUUUCUUUCUGCAGAGUCAUACAGUGACAACUUGGUUGGAGAAGUUAGAAAGGAUAGGUAAUUUUGUACUCUUAACGUUUAGCAACCGUAGAUUAGGUUAGUAGUAAAUCGCCAUGUGAGCUCUUAUUUGAUUAAAUGUUUUUAUUGUUAUAGGUUGGUAGUUCCAUCACACGGGCAGGUAUCAGUUUUGUUAAAAAGGCCUCCCUCAUCGCAUGAGGGAUUGCUCGAGCAGAUGUCCGAUGCAACUAACAGAACAGCAGUGGGAAAUAAAGGGUCAAAGGCGUCGUUCAGUGAGAUGUUGAAGAAUAGUAGUAGCAAUAGCAGCAUGAAGAAAGUGGCAGCAGAGCCAUCUUCUGAUCCAAACGAAGGAAACAAAGGCGGUGGUGGGAAGAAGAAAGGCAAGAAAGGGAGGCAGCUUGAUCCAGCUCUUCUCGGUUUCAAAGUCACUAGCAAUCGCAUUCUUAUGGGUGAAAUUCACCGCGCUGAUGACUUUUAGUCAAUUCUGAUACCCUGAGAUCCAUUCAAGCGUUUCUUCUUCUCCGGCGUAAUCAUGGUAUAAUUCGAUCUUUGCCUAUAAGUAAACCCUUCUUAUGUUUUUGUUUCUCUUUGAUUUUUGAUGGUCAAUGCUUUUCUCUUUGUUUGAAAUAUGAAUCACGUGAACAUUGUUUCAACUAGCUAGAUGAGUCCUAAUAAUAUCUUUACAAAAUCACAUAUUUUUCGAAAUUUGAAUUGGAUUAGCUUACUUAUAUCUGCAUUAUUGUGGAUUGUUUACUUGAUUUUUUUUUUUGUUGAGUGUGAAUGAAUACUUGAUCCGGGAUGAACCAUUACUAACUACAAUCAUGGUGGAUCCGGGAUAUGAUAUUGAUUGAUUUGGUUAUUGCAGAAAACUUACAAAGCUGACUCGCAGACAGGAAAGUGGAGAAGUUUGACAACGUUUAUAAAGAGAGGUUUUGUUCCUGAGACCACUACGUGUACGUUUAUGUGUAUCUCUUUAAGAUAACCUGUAAGGAACCAUGGUCUGGAAUAUGAAUCAUUCCUGUAUACAAUGUGUAUGUUACAGCUCUCUUCCAGAUCAUGAGGACUGCAGCUAGCGGAGAUACGGCAUAAACCGAAUCACAUUCAAGCUAGAAGAAUCAAGUUUAGAAAUGAAUCAUUCUUCUGUCUUUCUCUUCUUUUACCGUAGAAUGCAACUUUAUGUUUACUUGUGCAUGCUAAUGUAAUAAAUAGUAUUUUCUACAAGUUAUCAUAUCUUCAAGUUAGUUCACUUGGUACGACCCACACGCAGUUGAUACCCUCUCUGUAUACAAGGAGCAAGUGUAGUUUCCACUAGAUCUCGUCAAGUCUUAUGAGGUUGAUUACUCACAGGUUUAAGGAGUUCUGACCAGGUACAGAGAGAUUAAAGGGAAGCAUGUGCGCACGUGGCAUGAUACUCGGGAUCGUUAGCCGAGAAAUCAGAUACGAUUUUUUAGUAUAUCCUUUUUCCGAAUUUUAAAAUAAUAAAAACUUUAAAUAACUAUUGCUCAACAACCUUAGAAAAGAGCUUGUUCUUAUAUAAAAAUCUCAACUAUCUUCAUCAUGCCUAUGUGGGAUUCUCCACUUUGCCAUUAUUACAUUUUUUCGGGCUUUAGACUGUACGAAGCCCAAGUCAUUCUCUUCACACAUUAACUAAAGCCCAAUAGCAUUUAAUUGGCCCAAUAAGAAUAGCAAAUUUCGAUCCACUUUUCUAGGUUUGCGAAGGUAAAGUUGAAACGAGGAGGACCAUAAAAACCAACUCGAAAGGCAAUUAAAAACAAAAUAAUAGAAAUUUUCUUCAAGAUCGCGAUCUUCAAUCCCGAAUCCCUAAUCCAUUCAAGCUUCUCCUCUCUUCUCCGGCGUAAUCAUGGUAUACUUCCUGUAAAGUCAACCCUUCCCUUUUUGUUAAAUCUGUGCAGCUUCUUCUUCUCUCUGUAACUCCGAUCUCCCAGAUCUGAUUCACGAGCUUAACUAUCAAUGUUUGAAUCACGCGAAGUUUGUUUUCAAUUAGCUAAAUUGAGAUCCUAAUUUCGAAUCGGAUUAGCUGAAUUUCUUUUACUCUUUGUUUUGUGGUUGUUAGGACGUUCGAUCUCCUGCUCCCGUUCCCGUUGGAUCUCGGCGGCGUGAUAACAAGUGGUCAUCUCGUUGGGGUCCUGACGAUAAAGAGAAAGAGAAAGAAACCAAGGUUGACUACAACAACAAGGACAACAAGGAGGAGGCUCAGAGUGAAACUCAAUCUGUGAUUGGGAGCCUCCGUGAGUCUGAGACUCGUGAUAAAUGGAGGCCACGUCAUCGGAUGGAGCAGGUCCAGAGUGGUGGACCAGCUUCUUACCGUGCUGCGCCUGGGUUUGGACUUGAUAAAGGACGAAGUGAGGGUCCAAACAUAGGGUUCACCGUUGGUCGGGGUAGGGCGAGGGGUACUUGGUCUGCUUUCUUUGGCGCUGGAGGGUUCUUGAGAAACGAAAGCGUUCCUGGUAAACCUGCGCCUACGUGUCGGUAUGUGAGGGGGAAGUUGCUUGACUUGUAUAGAAACCAGAAGCCUGAUAGGAUGCCUAUUGAUAUGGAGGAGGUUGAUUCUGUAACUCAAGUGGCUUUGAUUGAACCUCUUGCUUUUAUUGCCCCUGGUGUUGAAGAAGAGGUAUGAUCCUUACUUGAGGACUUGCUUUUUUCCUUUCUCAUGAGUGUGUCAUUGUUUUGUAACUAAUUUUCAUGUGUUUAUGGUCUGGGUGUUAUAUAUUUAUUUCAGGAAAGCCUUAAGGGUAUAUGGAAGGGUAGGAUCACUAGUAGCGAAGCUCACACUUCACCUGGGGAAGAAUCUUUAGCUGAGGAGAGUAUGGGUAUGUGUAAUCUUGUUUUUUCGUUGCUUUGCUUCUAUCUUUCCAACUAGCUUGGAUAAUGAAUGCUUCUGUGACUUGAUUCAGGUGAGACGAAAGUGGAUGGUGCUUUGCUAGGGGUUAUGAGUGGUGACAGUGUUUCCAUGCAUAAUAGUAAUUCAGGUAUGUGAAUAAUAGGUGCUAUACGGGUAUUCAAAUUCAUGAGUAUUAAAGCUUAAGUCCAUUGUUAUGAGUUUGAUGGUAUUUUAGUGUUCUAUUAUAUAUUCUGACCCAUAUCCAAACAACUGUUGCUGUAGGAGUACUUGGUAGUCAUAAUGGAGGCUUGUGGGGUGCUUCUGAAAGUGAUCAAGUUUCUCGUGGAAGUCCUGAAGCAGUUAGAUCUGCUUUUGAUAAAUCUUCUGUGUUGGAUGCGGAUGAACCCAUUGUUACGGGAAAGCUGCAGCAACCUGAUAUUGAAGUGAAUCACUCCGAAGGGACUCUGCCACCUGAGGAGUUUAUGUUCUCGUACAUUGAUCCUCAAGGAGUAAUACAGGGACCGUUCAUUGGAUCUGACAUUAUUUCAUGGUUUGAGCAAGGGUUUUUUGGGACUGAUCUACAGGUCCGCUUGGCAACUGCUCCAGAAGGGACUCC
rnacentral:lncRNA from 1 species